rnacentral:tRNA from 2 species
GAGAAAGAUAUACAAUAAGACCUGCUAACUCUUAUAACUGAAGUUAAAACCUCAGCUCUCUCA